rnacentral:rRNA from 1 species
GUGGGGAAUAUUGCGCAAUGGGGGAAACCCUGACGCAGCGACGCCGCGUGAGCGAAGAAGGCCUUAGGGUUGUAAAGCUCUGUUUUAGGGGACGAAUGUCGUGGGGAAUAAUACGCUCUACGAAUGACGGUACCCUAAGAGGAAGCCCCGGCUAACUACGUGCCAGCAGCCGCGGUAAGACGUAGGGGGCGAGCGUUGUCCGGAAUUACUGGGCGUAAAGAGCACGUAGGCGGGACUUUAAGUCAGGUGUGAAAGACCGGGGCUCAACCCCGGGGUUGCACAUGAAACUGGAGUUCUUGAGGGCAGGAGAGGGCAGUAGAAUUCCUGGUGUAGCGGUGAAAUGCGUAGAAAUCAGGAGGAAUACCAGUGGCGAAGGCGACUGCCUGGACUGACCCUGACGCUGAGGUGCGAAAGCGUGGGUAGCAAACAGGAUUAGAAACCCCAGUAGUCC